ensembl:lncRNA
GUCAAGUGAUUUAGACCUGAGAUCUAAAAAGGCCAACACAACCUCAGGAGAUGAGGCCAUCGACACCUUAGCAGCAAAAGAGAUGCUUCUAGAGGACCUGACGAGCAGACCUGGUGGGCAGGACGUAUUAGAAGAGCACCAGACAACCAUCACAUUGGACCACAGAACCAGGAGAGAGAUGAUGAUUGCCACAUGAAAGAGAUGCGUGGACUGGGACAAUGAUAUGUUCUCCCUGCUGCUGCUGCUGCUUCAUCUCAUCCCACAACCAGCAGGAGGGAAGAGGAUCAAGAUCAGUGCCAGUAAUGCUGUGGGCAGACUAGUGCACUUUCAUAAGGUAAGUGACUUAAAAAAGAUCCUUUGUGUGUUGCAGUCAUGCUGCAGCAUUGAAGACCAUCUUGCUAGGAGCCAUGGUCGACAGCCAUACCUCCUUGCCGUCGGAAGAAGACAGAGCGAGAUUGACAACUACUACAUCGUGGUGGACAAGAAGCUUGUUCCCUGCUAGAGCACCACUCCUGACUGCCAUCCAGGACUUCUAUACCAGGCGGUGUAAAGGAAGACUCCACUCACACAAGCCAUAGACUGAUC